CGUAGGGUGCGAGCGUUAAUCGGAAUUACUGGGCGUAAAGCGUGCGCAGGCGGUUUUGUAAGUCAGAUGUGAAAUCCCCGGGCUCAACCUGGGAACUGCGUUUGAAACUACAAGGCUAGAGUGUAGAAGAGGGGGGUAGAAUUCCACGUGUAGCAGUGAAAUGCGUAGAGAUGUGGAGGAAUACCGAUGGCGAAGGCAGCCCCCUGGGCUAACACUGACGCUCAUGCACGAAAGCGUGGGGAGCAAACAGGAUUAGAUACCCUGGUAGUCCACGCCCUAAACGAUGUCUACUAGUUGUUGGUGGAGUAAAAUCCAUUAGUAACGCAGCUAACGCGUGAAGUAGACCGCCUGGGGAGUACGGUCGCAAGAUUA
rnacentral:rRNA from 1 species